rnacentral:rRNA from 1 species
UACGGAGGGCGCGAGCGUUGUUCGGAAUCACUGGGCGUAAAGCGCGUGUAGGCGGCCGGGCAAGUCGGAUGUGAAAUCCCGAGGCUCAACCUCGGAACGGCAUUCGAAACUGCUCGGCUCGAGUCCCGGAGAGGAUGGCGGAAUUCCCGGUGUAGGGGUGAAAUCCGUAGAUAUCGGGAGGAACACCAGUGGCGAAGGCGGUGGUCUGGGCCGGCACUGACGCUGAGGAGCGAAAGCGUGGGGAGCAAACAGG